AACGGACUCGAUCGGGCUUCACCAUCUAGGAUGAUGUCUUUUGUCAGCUUUUUUUCCUGGAGGGAGAUAAAUAGAAACGCCUCUGUGUAGUCUGUGUAGACAGACCAAUUAUUCUCACAAUUAAUGGGAGGGUUGGAGCACAAAGGCAGACGUACGGCACGGUGAAUGUGGCAGAAACGGCGAACGCAGUCCACAGCCAUGACUAAUGCACGUGGAACAGGGUGCGCUGAGGAAACACCUCACUCCAGAAGCCCAAAACACCCUACCCCAAGUCAGGCACCGUCCUGCUAGUAUCAGUCUCUGGAUUCAAAUGACAACAAGGAAAGCCAUUUCAGCCACCUGAGAGAGAGGAGGCGUGGCCAUAAAGGUAACAGUAAUACGCUCCCUCAGGGAUGGUUCUCAUUACCCCCAGACCUGGGAAGAAGAGCAAACCCUCAGGAGAAAGACCUAGAAUAACCCAGAAGAGAGGCUCAACCAUGCCAGGAGCCAGCGAGAGUAGGGCGGCGGACCCUCGUCUACCAGAGCACUGGAGAGACGUCAGGGCGUGGAGCAUAGAGAGAAGGCAGAGCCACAGAAUGUGGGUCCUAGAUGUAGAGAGCCUUCUCAGUUCGAUGGCCAGGCAACUGAGUGCCUCUCUGGAAAAAUAUCCCCGGCAAGAGCUUGCGAAUGGCACAAAUCCCUCCCCCUCUUCAUCCUUACCUAUUCCCCCUUCAAGGCCCAGGAAAGUUUACCCCCUGUUGUCAAGCCCUUUCAGACCGGCAGCUCUAGAUCGACCUUCAGACUGAAGGACUUUCUGUGGAUCACGCAAGUUAAAACAGACACUCCGGACAGAUCAGCCCGUAUCAUCUCUUGAUUUGGAAUGUUUCUCAACAGAAUGGACGGUGUUAUACAUGAUAAACCUAUCUAGAUGGCGGCCCUGACCCUAGAAGUAUCACCACAGGUGAUUAUGCCCAAAGCCAAGUUCUUAAAUUACAACAUUGGCCCCGCCUCCCCGUGUGCUGAAAUCCAGAGGGAAGCAUGGCUAUGGAUAACCUUGUCAGACACAAGGCAUGCAAGGUGGAACAAAUGUGACUAAAUCGUUCAUAGCUGGGUGUAUCCUCCUCCUCCUUGAUGAAGAGUUGUUUUCAACAUUCAGGAGAGGUGUGAUCAUGUUUAGACACUAAUAUACUGAGACUUUCUAAGAAAUAAAGAACGAUAUGUUAAACAGAAAACAUGAGUUCACACCCUUCGUUGGGUUGAGUGUUUCUACUUGAUCCCUCCCCUGACAUAAUAAAGA